GAGCUGGGUCUCUGUUGGGCCUGCACCGAUGCCCUUCCAUGUUGGCAGCAGAAUGUUACCCCCCAAAGCCUCCAUCUCACCCUCCUUUUUGCAGGCUUUAGUUUGAAUCCAGAGUCUAUAAGUCUUGCUGUGUCACUGCCUCUGGGUUUGGUGAUUGAUCACCCGUCACUUGCAGGCGUGACUGUCAGCCUCAGACCUGGCUUUGAUCUUCCUUCUAGUGCACCUUUUCUGUUUAGGGUGGACACUUCUUACUUUGUUAGGGCUCCUGUCUGCAUCUUCAGCCGGGGGGGGUUGAACUUCAUUUCAUCAGGACAGGUUGGGGCUGAAGGGUGAGUCCAUCAUCCAUUCAUCCAUCCCUCAGUCACAGCUAAACUAGACUAAUAAGAUUACAGCAGAGUUUGCAGAAAUGAAAGUUGGACGAAGCUUUUACAAAAUGGAGCCAGCGUUAAAAUGGGGUUUGAAUUCCAAUAUGGCAAACAGUGAACAGAAGGGACAGUGUAGCGGAUGGUGAACAGUGAACAGAAGGGACAGUGCAGAGAAGCGUAGCGGAUGGUGAACAGUGAACAGAAGGGACAGUGUAGAGAAGUGUAGCGGAUGGUGAACGGUGAACAGAAGGGACAGUGUAGGCAGGUGUAGCGGAUGGUGAACAGUGAACAGAAGGGACAGUGUAGGCAGGUGUAGCGGAUGGUGAACAGUGAACAGAA